rnacentral:rRNA from 1 species
GAUGAACGCUAGCGGCAGGCCUAAUACAUGCAAGCCAAGGGAUGUUAAGUGUGGCAACACACUUAAUGACCGGCGGACGGGUGAGUAACGCGUACGCAACCUACCUUUUACUGGGGGAUAGCUUUCGGAAACGAAAAUUAAUACCCCAUAAAAUCAGGUAUGGGCAUCCGUAUCUGAUUAAAGGAGUAAUCUGGUAAAAGAUGGGCGUGCGUCCGAUUAGCUAGUUGGUAGGGUAAAGGCCUACCAAGGCGAUGAUCGGUAGGGGAACUGAGAGGUUGGUCCCCCACACGGGCACUGAGACACGGGCCCGACUCCUACGGGAGGCAGCAUG